rnacentral:rRNA from 1 species
AGGAUGAACGCUGGCGGCGUGCCUAAGACAUGCAAGUCGAGUGGGUUUAGACCCACGGCGAACGGGUGAGUAAUACCUAGGAACUUUCUUUAAGUGGAGCAUAACCAGUCGAAAGAUUGGAUAAUACUCCAUGUGAUCGUAAGAUCAAAGUCGCAAGACGCUUAAAGUGAGGCCUGGGCACCAUCAGCUAGUUGGUAAGGUAACGGCUUACCAAGGCUAUGACGGUUAGGGGCCCCGAGAGGGGAGACCCCCACACUGGAACUGCGACACGGUCCAGACUCCUACGGGAGGCAGCAGUUUGGAAUUUUGGACAAUGGGCGAAAGCCUGAUCCAGCGACGCCGCGUGGACGAUGAAGGCCUUCGGGUCGUAAAGUCCUUUUGCUCGGGAACAAUAUUUUGAGCGUACCGAGAGAAUAAGAGGUUGCUAACUCUGCGCCAGCAGCCGC